rnacentral:rRNA from 1 species
UACGAAGGGGGCUAGCGUUGCUCGGAAUCACUGGGCGUAAAGGGUGCGUAGGCGGGUCUUUUAAGUCAGGGGUGAAAUCCUGGAGCUCAACUCCAGAACUGCCUUUGAUACUGAGGAUCUUGAGUUCGGGAGAGGUGAGUGGAACUGCGAGUGUAGAGGUGAAAUUCGUAGAUAUUCGCAAGAACACCAGUGGCGAAGGCGGCUCACUGGUCCGGUACUGACGCUGAGGUGCGGAAAGCGUGGGGAGCAAACAGGG